UUUUUGUCAUCUAGAACAUUGUGUUAAGAUGUACGUGACAUUGUCCAGCCCACAUUGCCCAUAGGUCCCUCUGCUCGCUGAUAGCGGAAAGCAGUGUUAUAUAGCUUUAUAUCUUUUGGGGAAUUUUGCAUCCAAACUUUGAGUCUAUCAAGUGAAACCCUGGAUUAAAAACGGGUACUCUAAUUCUACAAACAUUUCUCAAAUGAAGGAUUUCAGAACAUUUUAAUAUAAA